rnacentral:rRNA from 1 species
UGGGGAAUUUUGGACAAUGGGCGAAAGCCUGAUCCAGCAAUGCCGUGUGUGUGAAGAAGGCCUUCGGGUUGUAAAGCACUUUUGUCCGGAAAGAAAUCCUUGGCUCUAAUACAGUCGGGGGAUGACGGUACCGGAAGAAUAAGCACCGGCUAACUACGUGCCAGCAGCCGCGGUAAUACGUAGGGUGCAAGCGUUAAUCGGAAUUACUGGGCGUAAAGCGUGCGCAGGCGGUUUGCUAAGACCGAUGUGAAAUCCCCGGGCUCAACCUGGGAACUGCAUUGGUGACUGGCAGGCUAGAGUAUGGCAGAGGGGGGUAGAAUUCCACGUGUAGCAGUGAAAUGCGUAGAGAUGUGGAGGAAUACCGAUGGCGAAGGCAGCCCCCUGGGCCAAUACUGACGCUCAUGCACGAAAGCGUGGGGAGCAAAACAGGAUUAGAUACCCUGGUAGUCCACGCCCUAAAACGAUGUCAACUAGUUGUUGGGGAUUCAUUUCCUUAGUAACGUAGCUAACGCGUGAAGUUGACCGCCUGGGGAGUACGGUCGCAAGAUUAAAACUCAAAUGAAUUGACGGGGUCAUAGCUGUUUCCU